AUUGUUGUUGCCUUUACAAAACACGACCCGUGCACAUGUAAUGCAAAGCUGCUGAGGAGGAACGUUCUCCUCAGCCCAACCGGCCUCGACCUCCUGUCUUCCCGGACAUGUAGGUUGGGGCAUCGGAAAACGGCGCGGAAUGUCGCCAAGGAAUAUUAGAUUGCUGAGGCAGACGACCAGCCGCAAGGUGUUGCGCCGUCUGUUGAGGCCAAAACAAAAAAAACGAGAUGACUCCCGGCAACGGAUAUCUCGGCUCUCGCAUCGAUGAAGAACGUAGCGAAAUGCGAUACGUGGUGUGAAUUGCAGAAUCCCGUGAACCAUCGAGUCUUUGAACGCAAGUUGCGCCCGAGGGAUCAUCCCGAGGGCACGCCUGCCUCAUGGGCGUAAGAAGCCCAUCCACGCUCAGGCACCUUCAGGGUGUACCUGAUGCGGACAUUGGCCCUCCGAGCCGCAAGGUUGCGACGGGCUCAAGUAUAAUGGCUAUCGGCUGAGAAGAGCGACGAGUGGUGGGCUACAGGCUAGCGUUUACCGCACUCGAACCUCAGAAUGAUGUUGCCUUUGUUGACCCCGAACGAACAUCACGCCGCUGCACCAUUAUGCAGUGCGGCAUGUUCGGACCGAUACCCCAGGUCAGG
rnacentral:sRNA from 1 species